AUACCUUUCCAGAUGAUGAAUGCUUUAGAAUGGCAGGAAUCAGUCUGCAACUGGACAAAACCAAAUUCAGGAAGCCCUUUUUCUGAAAUUCUGUCCUUAAGAAGGUUAAUGUUUUAGGUUCUGAAGCAGAAACACUGGACACAGGCAUUCGUAUCAAAAAAUGGACAAAGAUGCACACUUUUUAAUCCCUGAAUUCUCUACAUUUUUAUUUUGGUCUGAUUAUCUGUUGCAGAAAGGCUGCUUGUUCUUCUACUUGGGAGGAGUCCAAUUUGGACUAAGUCAUUUGCUUGCUGCCAAGGAAAACAAUUUGUAGGCAACAGACAGGAAG